rnacentral:rRNA from 1 species
GGGCGGGGUGUUAUUCGGGGCUCGGCCCGAUCCUCCCACCCUUUGUGUACCUACCUCUGUUGCUUUGGCGGGCCGCGGUCCCCCGCGGCCGCCCCCCCUCCCCGGGGGGUGGCUAGUGCCCGCCAGAGGACCAUCAAACUCCAGUCAGUGAACGUCGCAGUCUGAAAAAACAUUCAAUAAACUAAAACUUUCAACAACGGAUCUCUUGGUUCUGGCAUCGAUGAAGAACGCAGCGAAAUGCGAUAAGUAAUGUGAAUUGCAGAAUUCAGUGAAUCAUCGAAUCUUUGAACGCACAUUGCGCCCCUUGGUAUUCCGAGGGGCAUGCCUGUUCGAGCGUCAUUACAACCCUCAAGCUCUGCUUGGUAUUGGGCACCGCCCUUCUUCGGGCGCGCCUCAAAGACCUCGGCGGUGGCUGUCUUGCCUCAAGCGUAGUAGAAUACACCUCGCUUCGGAGCGCAGGGCGUCGCCCGCCGGACGAACCUUCUGAACUUUUCUCAAGGUUGACCUCGGAUCAGGUAGGGAUACCCGCUGAACUUAAGCAUAUCAAUAAGCGGAGGAA